GAUGAAGAACGUAGCGAAAUGCGAUAAGUAGUGUGAAUUGCAGAAUUCAGUGAAUCAUCGAAUCUUUGAACGCACAUUGCGCCCCUUGGUAUUCCGAGGGGCAUGCCUGUUCGAGCGUCAUUAUCACCCCUCAAGCUUUGCUUGGUGUUGGGGCCUGCUGUAAUAGGCAGCCCUUAAAAUCAGUGACGGUGCUUCAAGGCUCUAAGCGUAGUAAUUCUCCUCGCUAUAGUGUCUAGUGGUUGCCAGCCAGAACCCCCCAAUUUUCAUGAUUGACCUCGGAUCAGGUAGGGAUACCCGCUGAACUUAAGCAUAUCAAUAAGCGGAGGA
rnacentral:misc_RNA from 1 species